CAGAGCUUCCCAGAAUACCCCACAAGGCUUGGCAUAGUGACAGGCAAAGUUUGGUGAGCCUUGCGUAAAUGGAAUCAAGCCUCUCAGUCCCCUUUGUCUGUGAAAUAAGACAUGUGGGCCAGGAGAUGACUGCCAUCUCUUCCAACCUUGAGUGAGACCCCCCAACAUGUCACCAUGACCCAUUGUGUGUGUGCUGCAGGGUCAGGGGAGGUACCAGUUUCCUCGAUGUAACCAAAGGCCCUCAGGGCCUGGUGGACAGUCCUACACAGUGGGAGGAGUUGGUCAUCUGGCCUCAGCUGACCCUGGCUUGUGGUUUUCAAGAACUUAGGAAAAGAAAACCCAGCUUGGGGAGCUGGGCAGAGAGCAGGAGUCCCAGCCUGGUGGGGCUGCAUUAGAGUCAGGUCCCUGCAAUCCCACCAGGGAUUCCACGGGUGCUCUCCUGCUGUCCUCUAAUGCCCAGGAGCUCAUGGCGGGGUCUGCUUUACUUCUAAGGAGACUGAGGCAGAACUGCAAGCAUCUGCCCUAUUUGAUGCACAGAGAGAGUGCAACUUACUGGACUUAUUGCAGGAGUCGCAUCCAACAAGAGAGCGGUUUGCCACCAAAACAAAGCUGCGCGCGGCUGAGGGCAGGAAGGCGCUGAGACCGAGAAGAAGGGACGUCCCGGAGAAAGUGCGCCCAGCUGAUCUUAGAAACCAGAGUCCUCCGGGACUUCGCCGAGAUUUUCUGUAGGGCGUUUUAAUCUGUUUUCCUACUGCGUGCCGGCGUCGCAGCGCGUGCGGCUCAGGGCUUGGUGACUCCGGCUUAGCCCGGCGGUCGCGGCGAGGUUCCUGGCGCAGCCGCUUGGAACUUCGCAUUAGAAUCGGGACCGCGCAAAUGCCCUGGCUGAAGUGUCACCCUAUUCAAGAAACACUGCUGUCAGGAACAAAAUGGGGUCCCCGGUGCUCCGAAGUAUCUUCUGAAAUUUUCUUAAAACAACUUACAAAAAAUGUUUUUGCUUUAACGUUUUACAACGUUUAAGGAAACAUGUAAAUGGUCUGUUUCUUUAUCGAGAUGGUCGUCCUAACUAACAGUGUACACAUACAUAACAAUUCUUCCAACUUUCCUCCUCAGAGCUAAGCACUUCACUAUAUGUAAAUUAUAAUAAAGAAAAGAUUGUGCAAGAUCAUGCAAGUCGAUUGACU
rnacentral:lncRNA from 10 species